rnacentral:rRNA from 1 species
UACGAAGGGGGCUAGCGUUGCUCGGAAUCACUGGGCGUAAAGCGCACGUAGGCGGAUUGCUAAGUCAGGGGUGAAAUCCUGGAGCUCAACUCCAGAACUGCCUUUGAUACUGGCGAUCUUGAGUCCGGGAGAGGUGAGUGGAACUGCGAGUGUAGAUGUGAAAUUCGUAGAUAUUCGCAAGAACACCAGUGGCGAAGGCGGCUCACUGGCCCGGUACUGACGCUGAGGUGCGAAAGCGUGGGGAGCAAACAGG